rnacentral:rRNA from 1 species
GAUGAACGCUGGCGGCGUGCUUAACACAUGCAAGUCGAACGAAGCACUUUAUUUGAUUUCCUUCGGGACUGAUUAUUUUGUGACUGAGUGGCGGACGGGUGAGUAACGCGUGGGUAACCUGCCUUGUACAGGGGGAUAACAGUUGGAAACGGCUGCUAAUACCGCAUAAGCGCACGGCAUCGCAUGAUGCAGUGUGAAAAACUCCGGUGGUAUAAGAUGGACCCGCGUUGGAUUAGCUAGUUGGUGAGGUAACGGCCCACCAAGGCGACGAUCCAUAGCCGACCUGAGAGGGUGACCGGCCACAUUGGGACUGAGACACGGCCCAAACUCCUACGGGAGGCAGCAGUGGGGAAUAUUGCACAAUGGGCAAAAGCCUGAUGCAGCGACGCCGCGUGAGCGAAGAAGUAUUUCGGUAUGUAAAGCUCUAUCAGCAGGGAAGAUAAUG